ACCUGUAGACAAAUUUGUCUUCUGAGAAGUUUGAAUUUGAAGAACAAGGGAGAAUUUCAAGAUGAACAGAUUUAACUUGCGUAAGAAACAAAGAAUUAGUUACUACGAACCGGACGAGCCGCCCUUCGACGACUAUGUUUUUUGUCCUUCGUGUCGAGAUUAUGUGUACGAAU